UGCGGUGUAGUUCAGCGGUAGAACGGGCUAUGGAGUGCUGGCCAGCGUGGGGAUUAAGAGGUUUGCAAACCUCCUGGUACCCGGUCCAAAAAGUGCAGUCGUCGGUUCGAAUCCGACCACCUCAACCA
rnacentral:tRNA from 1 species